UGCCGAAUUGUGUAAUGGUAGCACAGCAGAUUCUGAUUCUGCUUGUCUGGGUUCGAAUCCUAGUUCGGCAACCA
rnacentral:tRNA from 1 species